rnacentral:rRNA from 1 species
UACGGGGGGGGGUAAGCGUUGUUCGGAAUUACUGGGCGUAAAGGGCUCGUAGGCGGCCAACUAAGUCGGACGUGAAAUCCCUCAGCUUAACUGGGGAACUGCGUCCGAUACUGGAUGGCUUGGAUUUGGGAGAGGGAUGCGGAAUUCCAGGUGUAGCGGUGAAAUGCGUAGAUAUCUGGAGGAACACCGGUGGCGAAGGCGGCAUCCUGGACCAAUAUUGACGCUGAGGAGCGAAAGCUAGGGGAGCAAACGGG